AGACCUGAAGGCUGCUUCCGCUAACCCGGGCUGGCGCUGCUAACCUCACCCAACGAUCCCUGCUGUCGGAAAAUGUCCAGAGGCACCAUCCCUGCUAUGAAGAGGGAAUGCCAGUACAACAGCCACAAGGGGUCUUCCUGUGGCCCUCAAACAAAAAAUCACUGCAUUACAUCAGCAGACUGCAUUGGAGAGAAAGGCGCCGGGACAGAAAAGCCUGAGAUAAACCACCUGUCAUUCUUGGAGAAAAGGAUGCUGCGGCUUUCCCGAUUUGGUUGAUGAGAUGGAAAAUCAACCCUUACAGGAAGGACAUCACCAAUUCCGGAAAGGAUGCUGCGCCAGUCAUGUUUCCGCACUCUGUGAGACGUUGAAAUCUCCAGAAGUUGCCCAAGGUUUUCAAGCUGAACACAGGAGAAAUGACUCUGGAUCUCUGAGGACUGUUUUCCUCAAUAAGGAGCUGCAAUCUUGGCUCCACCACCCUCCCUCCAAAACAUCUCGUGUGUCUGGUAUCUGGUUAUAUUGUGGCCUGACAGAGAAGUUUCUUUCGGGGCCAGUGAAUUAAAAAAAAAAAAAAAAAGAAAAGCGGGUCCUACCAACUCAUUAAUACUUUAAUACUUUAAAUUUCCCUCUUUAUAGUAGGUUGAAAUGUCAGUAUCUCUUAAGAACAAUGGCUGAACCAAAUGUUUCCUCAAAACUCACAUUUUUUCCCACCAUUUCAGAAGCUGCCUCAGGACUAAGCUUUGAUUUUUUUUUUUUUUUUUAAUCUGGCCCAAAUUCCUAUCUAAGGGGCCUGGGGAGUCAUGCCCAACAAACCAUAAAUUCUCAUCAGAUGAGUUUUAUUUAACCCUAUAUAUGGUGACUUGCUUUCCAGUCUGACUCUGGCAUGACAUGUGACAAAGAAGAAAGUCAAAAUAUUUUACCCCAAAACAUGUUUCUUUGCCAUAUUUUGAAAUGGUCCUGCAAAGCUGUGCUUUGUGGGGGAAAAUAUGCAUCUGUAAAGAAUCUCUAUUAACACAGCUAGAUCUUUUUCUUCCAGGCCCUCCCAAUCCUGAAGAGACUGAGAGUCUAGCAUUGUUUUAAAGGUCUGAAUAGGAAACAUUUGUCAUCUAUCAUCUCUAAGGGUAGCCAUUAUAAGACUUCAAAAGAACCUUUUGAAGUAUUAUAAUCUUUUAUCUUAACCUGAACAUGUGCUUCCUAUUGAUCCCAGGUCUUCAGACAAUUGUGAACUCAACCAUUUGUCAAUUAGAAAAUGUUUAAAUUGGCUGGGCACAGUGUCUCAUGCCUCUAAUCCCAGCACUUUGGAAGACCAAGGCGGGCAGAUUGCCUGACCUCAGGAGUUCGAGACCAGCCUGGGCAACAUGGUGAAACCCCGUCUCUACUAAAAUACAAAAAUUUAGCCGGGCGUAGUGGCAUGCACCUGUAGUCCCAGCUACUUGGGAAGCUGAGGAAGGAGAAUUGCUUGAACCCGGCGGGCAGAGGUUGCAGUAAGCAGAGAUCGUGCCACUGCACUCCAGCUUGGGCAACAAAGUGAGACUCCAUCACAGAAAAAAAAAAGAAAAUGUUUACCUUUACCUAUAGCCUGGAAAUCCCUGCUUUGAGUUGCUCCAUCUUUCUGAACCAAACCAAUGUUAUUUCUUAAACGUAUUUCAUUGAUGUCUCAUGCCUCCCUAAAAUGUAUAAAACCAAGCUGUGCCCCGAACACCUUGGGCACAUGUUCUCAGGACCUCCUGAGGGCCGUGUCACGGGUCAUAAUCACUCAUAUUUGGCUCAGAAUAAAUCUCUUCAAACAUUUUACAGAGUUGACUCUUAGUCAACAUGUCCAUACCUGAUGAGAUGCUUCAUCAAAAUUCUAGUGGACUGGCUAGUUCAGAAAAUGGACCAGCCAGGUUUGCUUAAAUGCACCCCUGCACAACUAUCUCACUCCUGCUUGGAGCCGGCUAGAUCAGGAGACCUGUCCCUAAACUAAUGUACUCCAUGUCUUAAGUCUUUUUGUUUUGUUUUGUUUUUGUUUUUGACAGAGUCUCAGUCUGUCACCCAGGCUGGAGUGCAGUGGCGUGAUCUUGGCUCGCUGCAACCUCCGCCUCCCAGGUUCAAGAGAUUCUCCUGUCUCAGCCUCCCAAGUAGCUGGGACAACAGGUGUGCACCACCAUGCCCUGCUAAUUUUUGUGUUUUAAGUAGAGAUGGGGUCUCACCCUGUUGGCCAGGCUGGUCUCAAAUUCCUGACCUCAGGUGAUCCACCCACCUCGGCCUCCCAAAGUGCUGUAAUUACAGGCAUGAGCCACCGCACCCAGCCCAUGUGUCUUGGUCUUUUUUACUAAUAUUGAUUAUAAAAUGGAUGAAACUUUGGAU
rnacentral:lncRNA from 1 species